rnacentral:rRNA from 1 species
UGGGGAAUAUUGCACAAUGGGCGGCAAGCCUGAUGCAGCCAUGCCGCGUGUAUGAAGAAGGCCUUCGGGGCUUUGUUAAAGAUACUUUUCAGCGAGGAGGAAGGCAUUAAGGUUAAUAACCUUAGUGAUUGACGUUACUCGCAGAAGAAGCACCGGCUAACUCCGUGCCAGCAGCCGCGGUAAUACGGAGGGUGCAAGCGUUAAUCGGAAUUACUGGGCGUAAAGCGCACGCAGGCGGUCUGUCAAGUCGGAUGUGAAAUCCCCGGGCUCAACCUGGGAACUGCAUUCGAAACUGGCAGGCUAGAGUCUUGUAGAGGG